rnacentral:lncRNA from 1 species
UAUAUAAGGAGGGGAACGAGCUUUGUUUAUAGCACAAGUGAAACUCCACUUUAUUGAACGAUGGGGUCUCAAAUGGGCUGCCUCUUUGCCACUCUUUUGGUAGUAUCAGUCUCUCUUAGCUACUUGCCGAUAGAAGCCUCCGCAAACAAAUACUACUACACAUCUCCUCCCCCUCCCAAGUACAAGUCUCCACCACCACCCCCGCCACCGGUUCACAAUUCUCCACCACCACCCCCGGUUUACCUGCCCCCGCCACCUCCUCCACCAGUCUACGUGCCUGCUCCGGCACCAACUCCAAUUUUCCCUUCUCCGCCACCUCCUGUCCCCAAGUCCCCACCACCACCUCACCCUUACGUCUAUGCAUCUCCCCCUCCUCCUUACUACUACUAGAAAGCGGCCAUGAAUAGCUCAUGCUUUUAUGGUAAUCUCAUUUAUUUUUAAAACUGUACAUGUAAAGACUAGUAGUUCAGAAUUACAUUAAGCAUUUCAAUUUUAAGCACCGUGUUCUGUUUAAUUGCGUUCCUAUUGAUUAAGUGACAAAUAAAAGAGAUUGAUUAAUUUGUUCUUGUAGGAGAGGCGAAUGGUAUCCGAAUAAAGAAAGCAAGGGUUUGAUGGAAGGCUUACUUGGAGCAAGAUAGCGAUCAAUCGAGUUGCUGCGUUUUAUUCUCUUUUCUCUUUGUUUUUUAAGAAAAAUAAACUGCCACACGUAGAAACAGAAAAUUAAGUUCUUGUCAUUUUCAUGCAUGUGGAUUGUUGCUUUGUGUGUCAAUCAAAUCUCCGUUGUGUCAUUUGUAAUUUUCAACCUUUAUGCAUGCAAAUGCGAGACCUCUUACGUAUAAUAAAAUUAAUAUACUUCCCAAGAUGGUCUUAUCUUGCGUUGACUUUUUACGUUCCUUUGGUGAUGAUUUUAACGUUUGAAAUUGAUGAGUAUUGUUUUUGUAAACUCUGACAUGG